rnacentral:rRNA from 1 species
CCCUUAGAUGAUUUGGGCUGCACGCGCGCUACACUGACCCUAACAAUGAGCAACUGUCUGGCCUGAGAUGGCUGGGUAGCCUUUUCAACCCAUGUCAUGAUUGGGCUAGAUUUUUGUAAGUCUUGAUCUCUAACGAGGAAUCCCUAGUAUGCGUGAAUCAUCAAUCCAUGCAGAUUAUGUCCCUGCCCUUUGUACACACCGCCCGUCGCUCCUACUGAUUGGGUGAUCCGGUGAGCUGUUCGGCCAUAGCAAUGUUUCUUGAGCAGGGCAAUGAAUGUCUCGCAAACCUUGCCACUUAGAGGAAGGAGAAGUCGUAACA